AACCCUGGACGGUGGAUCACUUGGCUUCUGGAUCGAUGAAGAACGGAGCAAAAUCCGCGUCGACAUGUGAACUGCAGGACACAUGAACAUCGAUAUUUCGAACGCACAUUGCCGAACUUUGAAUUUAUUCUGGUUCGACGUCUGUCUGAGGGUCG
rnacentral:rRNA from 1 species